rnacentral:rRNA from 1 species
GAUGAACGCUGGCGGCGUGCCUAAUACAUGCAAGUCGAGCGAACAGACGAGGAGCUUGCUCCUCUGACGUUAGCGGCGGACGGGUGAGUAACACGUGGAUAACCUACCUAUAAGACUGGGAUAACUUCGGGAAACCGGAGCUAAUACCGGAUAAUAUAUUGAACCGCAUGGUUCAAUAGUGAAAGACGGUUUUGCUGUCACUUAUAGAUGGAUCCGCGCCGCAUUAGCUAGUUUGUAAGGUAACGGCUUACCAAGGCAACGAUGCGUAACCGACCUGAGAGGGUGAUCGGCCACACUGGAACUGAGACACGGUCCAGACCCCUACGGGAGGCAGCAGUAGGGAAUCUUCCGCAAAGGGCGAAAGCUUGACGGAGCAACGCCGCGUGAGUGAUGAAGGUCUUAGGAUCGGAAACCUCUGUUAUUAGGGAAGAACAAAUGUGUAAGUAACUAUGCACGUCUUGACGGUACCUAAUCAGAAAGCCACGGCUAACUACGUG